GAUGAACGCUGGCGGCGUGCCUAAUACAUGCAAGUCGAGCGAACGGACGAGAAGCUUGCUUCUCUGAUGUUAGCGGCGGACGGGUGAGUAACACGUGGAUAACCUCCUAUAAGAACGGGAUAACUUCGGGAAAACGUAACUAAUACCGGAUAAUAAUUUUAACCGCGUGGUUCAAAAGUGAAAGGCGGUCUUGCCGGUACUUAUUGAUGGAUCCGCGCUGCAUUAGCUAGUUGGUAAGGUAACGGCUUACCAAGGCAACGAUGCAUAGCCGACCUGAGAGGGUGAUCGGCCACACUGGAACUGAGACACGGUCCAGACUCCUACGGGAGGCAGCAGUAGGGAAUCUUCCGCAAUGGGCGAAAGCCUGACGGAGCAACGCCGCGUGAGUGAUGAAGGUCUUCGGAUCGUAAAACUCUGUUAUUAGGGAAGAACAUAUGUGUAAGUAACUGUGCACAUCUUGACGGUACCUAAUCAGAAAGCCACGGCUAAUUACGUG
rnacentral:rRNA from 1 species